AAUUUAAAAAAUUUCAGUUAGAAUUUUCUAACCAAUCUGCGAAUUUUUCCAAACGUUUUUCCUCGUCCUCUUCAUCAUCUAAUGUAUGCUUUCCACUUUUCUGGAACCGAACCUUUCCAUCGUAAAUUGAAGCUUCCACUACCCGGCCAUCAAAAUAUCGGCCUUGCAUUAACCUUACGCAAGCUUCAGCUUCUUCAUUGUUUGAAAACCGUACAGUUACUACUCCAUCAGGCUCCUUGUCGUACAAAACCACAUUAGUAACUCGUCCACAUUUCUCAGCUUCCUCAGUGAUAUCGUCUUUUAAGUCAAUUAAAAGUUCAGGUGUUUUAUCGAGUUCUUCCAGCGUAAAAAUAUGCUUUAAAACUACUAUUUUAUUAAAUCGUUUUUUUCUUUUAUCAUCAACCUCUUCGUCAACAUCAUCCCAGGAUGAAAUUUGCCUAAAACCUGUUAGCUCUAUAAAUUAAAAGAUAAAACCGAGAAAGAAAAAAGUUGGUAUGCAACAAUAAAUAAAAGAGAAAUUUUUUAUGAGUAUUCAUUACAUAACAUACUGCAUUUGUUGUUGUCGGAGACGAAGUGCCUUUUUUUUUAAGGCACCACCUACGUCUUUGUUCACCGUUUUCUCCUUUUUGUAAUCAAUAUUAGCUUUCUGGACACGCAUCUUUUGCCCAGAUCCAUAACGAAAUUCAGUGUCAUCAAAUAAUUGCUCUGCAAGCUCAACACUUUCGCUGCGGAAAAAUACAAUUAAAGCAUCACCUUUAGGAGUUCCAUCCUCUGUCCGGUAGAUUUUGAUUCUCGGCGUACCAUUGUCAAUAUUCUUAGCAAUAACACCGCAUUUCUUGAAUACUUCUUCAAUUUCGUCAACCGUGACAUCCAGUGGUAGUCCUUGAAUGUAAACCGCUUUGUUUAUUACUGGGGCGGGCGAGGCUUCUGAAUUUUCGGACUUUGACUUUUUAUUUCGAGAACCUGAAGGAUACCCUUCAGCCGAUGUCGAUUCGUACAAUCGUUUGGUAUGGCGGUCUUCGCCGUUGCUAGAUUCCUUUCCUUCGGUAGCCUCCGCCGUAACAUCACUGACUUCUGCACCAGUUGAGCCGGCCUUAUUCAUUUUUAAGCUAUUAGGAUCCUUGUUUAGUUAGGGGUCAUGUUUGUCUCAAUGGAAUGGUAAAGCAAAAUUGUUCAUCGUACAUAAUCUUUCCAAGUUUGUUCUUCAUCAAUAUAUAUUAAUUCGUUUCCUUCUGAUCCUAAACAUCUCCAACGAUGUAUUCUUUCAUCCCAAAAAGGCUGGCUGGACAUAAUCUACGAGCUCUAAAACGAUUAUAACUUGGUAAAGUUCAAAAUGACCUCGAUUGUUUUCACAUAACGAUUUCUAACAACGCCACAAUAUAUAUGUAGAGUAAUGUCACUGCUUUGUAUAAUAUGUAUGGAACAAAAUACAGCUUCUUUAGA